rnacentral:rRNA from 1 species
GACGAACGCUGGCGGCGUGCUUAACACAUGCAAGUCGAACGGAAAGGCCCUGCUUUUGUGGGUGCUCGGGUGGCGAACGGGUGAGUAACACGUGAGUAACCUGCCCUUGACUUUGGGAUAACUUCAGGAAACUGGGGCUAAUACCGGAUAGGAGCUCCUGCUGCAUGGUGGGGGUUGGAAAGUUUCGGCGGUUGGGGAUGGACUCGCGGCUUAUCAGCUUGUUGGUGGGGUAGUGGCUUACCAAGGCUUUGACGGGUAGCCGGCCUGAGAGGGUGACCGGCCACAUUGGGACUGAGAUACGGCCCAGACUCCUACGGGAGGCAGCAGUGGGGAAUAUUGCACAAUGGGCGGAAGCCUGAUGCAGCAACGCCGCGUGCGGGAUGACGGCCUUCGGGUUGUAAACCGCUUUCGCCUGUGACGAAGCGUGAGUGACGGUAAUGGGUAAAGAAGCACCGGCUAACUACGUG